rnacentral:rRNA from 1 species
UACGAAGGGGGCUAGCGUUGUUCGGAAUUACUGGGCGUAAAGCGCGUGUAGGCGGGUCUUUAAGUCAGGGGUGAAAUGCCAAGGCUCAACCUUGGAACUGCCUUUGAUACUGGAGACCUUGAGUCCGGGAGAGGUGAGUGGAACUGCGAGUGUAGAGGUGAAAUUCGUAGAUAUUCGCAAGAACACCAGUGGCGAAGGCGGCUCACUGGCCCGGUACUGACGCUGAGGCACGAAAGCGUGGGGAGCAAACAGG